UAGUUUUCUUUUAUUGCAUGGAAUUAGUAGUUUGACAAGUAAGGAGAAGUGACUAAAACACAACUAUUCACAUAAAUAACUUAUCCAAACACAUGGUCGUUUACGUUGAUCUCUUUGAUCUCUUACCUAAAACACUAUGGAAAACAGGACAGAUGAAGAAAAAAAAUAUGAGGUGGCAUUUGAAAAGUGAUCACCUCUCGAACCUCUCAAAUCCACCACACUGAAUGGGAGUGGAGCAUACUCAGAAAAAUAAACUGAGGUGUCCACAAUCGCACUGCGCGAUAGUGAGGGGUGGAUGUAGCCACAGUUCUCAUUCUAGCCACAAGCCCACAAACACACAUGCAGAACUGCAGAUGUACCAGACAGAGUUGCCACUGCAUGGUCUGGCGGCAGCAACUCAGUCACCUCGCUGGGUGGUCCUCCUCCCAGCAGUCGAACCAAGGUGCAAGCAUUUCUGAAAUAAAGGCAAUUGAUGACAUCCAAAACUUCGUAAAAUAAGUAAAUAUUAGACAUAAAUAUAAUUCGAAGGUCAUGGUUUAUACUCCCUCCGUCCCAAAAUUCUUGUCUUAGAUUUGUCUAGAUACGGAUGUAUCUAAUACUAAAACGUGACUUGAUAUAUCGAUAUUUAGAUAAAUCUAAGACAAAAAUUUUGGGACGAAGGGAGUAACAAAUAUUGCAGGUUGAUGUAUAGGAGAAGAAUAAAAAUGCUUAUGGUUGCAGGAGAUGAAAAAUAGGAGUGAGGCUUUAAAACAUGCCAAGCAAAAAAAUGUAAGACCAAGGUGGUACCUUGUGAUUUCAUUGUAGAUGCCCACUCUAACCAUAUGAAUCAAGCGAUUGACCUUCCAAUAAUCAGAAACUAUUUGUGUAUUAACAAAAUAAUUUGCUAUGCUACACUGUAAACUCCAUGUGUGUGUAUGUGUGCCUGAGAGAGAGAAAGAGAUGAACUGCAAACCAAGAAAGAAAACUGUGCAGACAAAGCCGUGGGUAGAAAGAUUUUUCGUCCUAGCAGGCGAUAGUAGUUCAUUCAGAAUUUCAGAUACGGCGGAUGAUGUGACUACCUUUUGCGGCGCAAAGGGUGGGCUGCAGCUUCGAUCCUGAACGGCGGCGGACAGACGACAUCGCGCAGUAGCGUUCAUCCUAGUCAACGAUGGAUGGUGAGGACAACCUCAGCAAGGGGUGAGCUGCCAAAAUAGGCGGAG
rnacentral:lncRNA from 1 species